rnacentral:tRNA from 1 species
GCCCUUGUAGCUCAGUGGUUAAGAGCAUUGGCCUGUGUAUUAGGGGGCAUGGGUUCAAUUCCAAUCAAGUGCA